AAAAUAAUAAAUUUAUGAUUCAAGUCCAUACUAUGGAAAUCAAUAUAUUGCAUUGUUAAGUUAGACAAAAAGUCCCUAAAUACAUAUUAUCAAGGGUACAUGUAUGUCUAUAUAAAUGAAAACUUUCUGGCAUCAUUAAUUUCUAAAUUAAGAUUAUAUUUUACUAGCAAUAAAUCCACUUUUCAUCUUAGAUUUUAGAAAGACUUGUAUAUAAUUGCUUGACUAUACCAUCUAUUUAAAAAACCUCCCCAGGGAAUUUUAACUAAUGCUCUUUCCCCCUUUACAAAAUUUUCCUGCUGCCGUCAGAGGCAUUAAAAAUGAUUUGUUCAGUUUUAGCUGCACUUUUCAAAAAUAGGCAUUAGUUCCAUCUCCCUCUUCUAUUUUGCAACAGUUCCCAAGUUUUCCCCUGCAAGAAAUACCUACAGAACCAGAUGGAAAUUCAGAUUCUUGCAGCCUACCCUUCAGAUAUUCUGACUCGGUAGAUCUAGAGCAAGAUCCAGGAACUGGCAUUUAACUUUUAACCUGCAUCCCUCGGCCCUCCGUGAUCCAGAUGCAAGUGGUGCAAGGACCACACUUGGAGAACUCUGCUGAGGAAUGCUUUCUCUUAAACAAUGAACACUCUUUAUUUGCCAGGCACCAUGCUAGGUGCUAUGAAUACAACAGUGAAAAAAAGACAUGGUGAAAGUACAAUUUCAGAAAUUAUUUGUAUCCCUGGAACAAAGCAUGAACGAUGAUCUGUACACACACAGUAGACAUGCAAUAAAUAUCUGUCAAAUGAAUGAAUGCAUGAGUUCAGAAUUGAGUGAUGAAGCCAGACAAAUAAACAGGAAAAUACAAUAUGGUGUGAUUGACACUGUCGUAGAGAUAUACAUGGGGGAAAGGGAAGAAGGAAAUGAACCUUUACUGGGGAUCUACUCUGUGAUGGCUACUGUGUGCACUUUCUACUACCUCACACAGGAAGAGAGGCAGUUACCAGCGUGGGAGCAUCAGAGAAGGCUUCCAGAGGAGAGGCUGCAUGCAUUGACUCUCAUGGACAAGGAGGUAUGCAAUCUUCUGAACAACAGCUGUUAUACUUUGGAAAUGUUUGAUAAACCUGUCAUUACAAAGUUACCUAAUUGUUGAGGGCACAAGCUUCCAAGUCAGAAAGCUAUGGGUUCAAAUUUGAAUGCCUGACUUACUACUUACGUGACCUGAGAGCUUUAACUUUCCCAAGUCCAUUUCAUCACUGGAACUAUAGUACCUGCUGCACAGGGUAAGGAUUAAAUGAGAUAAUAUAUGUAAAGUACCUGGCACAUAGCAGGGACUCAAUAAAUGAUAUCUAUCAUUUUUUAAAAAAUAUUUU
rnacentral:lncRNA from 1 species